UCCGUCGUCGUCGAUCCCAGCGAUCACGGGCUCGACAAA
rnacentral:SRP_RNA from 1 species